AUUGAACGCUGGCGGCAGGCUUAACACAUGCAAGUCGAGCGGGGUGAUGGUGCUUGCGCUAUCACUUAGCGGCGGACGGGUGAGUAAUGCUUAGGAAUCUGCCUAUUAGUGGGGGACAACACCUCGAAAGGGAUGCUAAUACCGCAUACGUCCUACGGGAGAAAGCAGGGGAUCACUUGUGACCUUGCGCUAAUAGAUGAACCUAAGUCGGAUUAGCUAGUUGGUGGGGUAAAGGCCUACCAAGGCGACGAUCUGUAGCGGGUCUGAGAGGAUGAUCCGCCACACUGGGACUGAGACACGGCCCAGACUCCUACGGGAGGCAGCAGUGGGGAAUAUUGGACAAUGGGGGGAACCCUGAUCCAGCCAUGCCGCGUGUGUGAAGAAGGCCUUAUGGUUGUAAGGCACUUUAAGCGAGGAGGAAGCUCUUUUGGUUAAUACCCAAGAUGAGUGGACGUUACUCGCAGAAUAAGCACCGGCUAACUCUGUGCCAGCCGCCGCGGUAA
rnacentral:rRNA from 1 species